rnacentral:lncRNA from 1 species
GCGAGAUGUGAGAACAACCCCACCCACACCGCCUCCUCCUCCUCAGCGGAGGAAAAUCAGGCGAGAUCUUGCGAGGCUUUCGCGGAGUGUGCGGAAGUGGCCGAGUGAGGGGAGCCACGUACUCUCGCGAUACUUAUCACAGUGAUGUCAGGCAUAUACUUCAGAAGUGCAGGUGGAAAGAACUGGUCGGAAGGAACGAAGGUGGUGGUGUGGCCAAGUUGUGCCUAGAGGAACCCCCACGAUUCAGAUAAGAUGCAUCUCCAGGGACGUCCCGCACCACCACUGACCCGCUUGUUCUCCUUUGUGAAAGACGCCUCUGGUCUCACAGCGCUGAGCCCACAG